ACAGUCUGAAAAUGGCCCCAGGUGCGUCAGUGAUCUGGGGUCAGAUAAGUGUGCCCACAGUACCGUGGUGCAUUAAGCUUAUUGCGUGCGUCUCUUUGUGGCUACGUGAUAAAACCCAUGUACCUACAUAC